rnacentral:lncRNA from 1 species
UUUUGCUGUUCAAACGAAAUGAACGUCAUUAUUUUUAAUGGAAAAGAAUAGGGCGAAUGCAAAUUUUAUUUCAUAUAGGAAUAGCCAUAGAUUUGACAUAAAAAAUUGUUGAUCCAGAUUUUUCAACUAAUGUAGUUAUUCAUAUCUGUAGUAUUGGCCAUAGUAUUUCUGAUUUUAGUUUUAUGCCUAUUGACUGUAUAAAUGAUAAAAUGGGCAGGCUGUUGAAGGAAACUUUGGAUGCACAAAUUAGGUUAAUAGCCAGGCGUGCAACAAUGUCAGCUACAAUGAUUAUUCGGAAGCUGUUGUGUAUAGAAGGAGCAUAUUUUGUCGUUUUAUAUUUCGAGUUUGAAAUAGCUCUUCCAGUAUUCCUGAAGACACUGGCAAUGAAACGAAGUACGGUGAUGCAACAUAGAAAUUACGUUACCGAAUACUCUGGUAUUUGAUGAAGCAGUGGUGAAAGUAAAUGACACUAACAAGAAACAAAUCAACACAUCAUUAAAUAUUUAUUUAACUAG